ACAGUGGUCGUUCAGUGGUAGAAUUCUCGCCUUCCAUGCAGGAGACCUGGGUUUGAUUCCUGGUCAAUGCA
rnacentral:tRNA from 1 species